AACUCAAAGGAAUUGACGGGGACCCGCACAAGCGGUGGAUGAUGUGGUUUAAUUCGAUGCAACGCGAAAAACCUUACCUACCCUUGACAUGUCUGGAAUCCUGAAGAGAUUUGGGAGUGCUCGAAAGAGAGCCAGAACACAGGUGCUGCAUGGCCGUCGUCAGCUCGUGUCGUGAGAUGUUGGGUUAAGUCCCUCAACGAGCGCAACCCUUGUCAUUAGUUGCUACGAAAGGGCACUCUAAUGAGACUGCCGGUGACAAACCGGAGGAAGGUGGGGAUGACGUCAGGUCAUCAUGGCCCUUAUGGGUAGGGCUACACACGUCAUACAAUGGCCGGGACAGAGGGCUGCCAACCCGCGAGGGGGAGCUAAUCCCAGAAACCCGGUCGUAGUCCGGAUCGUAGUCUGCAACUCGACUGCGUGAAGUCGGAAUCGCUAGUAAUCGCGGAUCGGCUUGCCGCGGUGAAUACGUUCCCGGGUCUUGCACACACCGCCCGUCGGUGUGCACACACCGCCCGUC
rnacentral:rRNA from 1 species